rnacentral:rRNA from 1 species
UACGAAGGGGGCGAGCGUUGUUCGGAAUUACUGGGCGUAAAGGGCGCGCAGGCGGCCCUUGAAGUCAGGCGUGAAAGCCCCGGGCUCAACCUGGGAGGUGCGCUUGAUACUCGAGGGCUUGAGUGCGGGAGAGGAGAGUGGAAUUCCCAGUGUAGAGGUGAAAUUCGUAGAUAUUCGAAAGAACACCAGUGGCGAAGGCGACUCACUGGCCCGUUACUGACGCUGAUGCGCGAAAGCGUGGGGAGCAAACAGG